ACAAGAAGGUCGAACUGUAAUAGAUGCGAAGCAAAUCGCGUCGACAAUCGAGCUCUCAUUUGUCUCCGAGGGAGUGUCCCGUGGCUUAGUCCGCGUUCGCAACUCCGCAGUCCGCAGUCGGGAACGGUGGCUGUGUUAAAACGCUCGUGUUCCUCGUCGGUGGCCCGACCGCACUCGUACAUUCAUAUUGUAAAUCGGGUAAUUAUGGAAAGGAAGACACACGCACGGCGCCUCGGCUGACCAUUAAAUUCGGAGUUCGUCGAGACUUUGUAAUUUACUUUACGAGUGGCCAAGACGUAUUGUUCAACGUUGGGACUUGCUGCAUUACUGGUGCAAUAGUUCGGCCUUACAUAUCUAUGUGGACUGGAGUUUUAUGAAGAUUGUAAAUAGCCAACGCAUUAAGAGAAAAUUGGCUCACUCUCUUUUUCAACCGAAACAAAGCAAUAUAACGUAUGCAAAGUAUUCCUUCUGCGAUUGAAUACCUGAUGAUAAGGCGCUACCCUCCAAGAGGAGCCAGCACAGGACCGUGUCCCAAUAAGAUAUCGACUCGGAGCACAACAAGAAUUAAAGAACAAAUUAUGAGUGUGCAAUGUCAGCAGCAGAUUUUCGGUUAAGUUUCAUGUGUACUAGGAAAGAGGCUACUGCGCAUUUAUGACAAGAAAUGAACAAAAUGCGGAGAUAUAAACAAAUGCUACAAUACAAUCAGAAUUCUCGCUGAAGACCUCUCCGCUUAUUUCCAGUCAGCCUGAGUACUAUUACGCCUUAAUGUCUUUUUUGUGCGUUCUUUAAAAUAUUUUUAAUAUCUUUGAAAGUGACCCAGCAAAACAAAGUUUAAUCGAACAUUUAUUUGCAUAGAAAACUUGAAAUAAUGGUUUCAUUUGUUUUGAAAAAAUUUAAAUAUCUCUAACUAAUCAAAAUUUAAAUC